rnacentral:tRNA from 1 species
GGUAGCGUGGCUGAGAGUCUAAGGCGCUGCAUUUAGACUCCAGUCUCUUCGGGGGCCUGGGUUCAAAUCCCACUGCUGCCA